CAGGUCCGUUGAAUUUGCGCAGAAUUUGCAGUUGGCUAAGUGAGACGCAGCUGACUUGUCAUGCUCGUGCCUGUCGCUGCGUCUCCCUCCCGCGAGAGACCGAACGAGACCGUCCGGGACUUUUCGGCCCAACUUGGUCUCUAUGUCCGUCAGGUCCGGAGAGCCGCUGCGUUCCUCGUCCAUCGUCACUCUCCCAGAAAAACCGCACCACACCAGCAGACCUCUCAUUGAAGCCCGUAACCAGUAGGAGAACAGUUUAACACCAGCAUGCUCUCUGAGGACACUCCCAUUACAAGAAGGGCUGUCUCUGAAACCAGACACCCGCCAGCUGCAGCAGAUGGAACCUGUGCCAGGUGAGGAAUCCGGGGCCUUCGUGAGAGAAGUCCACCCCGCCAAAGCUGGCCUGCCCAGCGCCCAGGAACGUCUUGCUGACAGAGUAGUAAUGAGACCAGACGAAGUAGUUGUAGACCGUGAUGUCUUCAAACAGCGUGGUGUUCCCUUCAGGGCCGAAGAUGUCUGAGUAGUGGCGCGUUGCGAUCACCAGGUCAGGGUGCACUGUGCGCUUGGCCUGGUUCAGUGCGUUCACAAAGGCACGCUUCUCUUCAGAGCUGAGCUGCAUCACGUUUCUCCUCACUGUAGGGAAAUAAAAAAAGGUUGUUUUUAGUUGCGAGUUUAUUUUGUAAAGAGACUCAAACACGAUGCAUCCAUUAUGUAAAGCAGGAGUCUCUCUUUUAUAUUAACACAUUUUUGUGAUUAUUGUUAUUUUAUACACAGAUUAGAGUCAAAUAAAGGUGGUCUAAACUGUC